GCGCGAGUUGUCUAGUGGUUUAUGACGUCGCACUCGUAAGAAAUGCGGAGGUCGGGAGUUCGAAUCUCCCUUCGCGCU
rfam:Aspergillus wentii DTO 134E9 unplaced genomic scaffold ASPWEscaffold_8, whole genome shotgun sequence.